AUCUGCUCACAUUACCUAGGAAAUUCCAAGGGGUUUAGGAGCCGGGUGACAGGAACAGAGAUGAACGCUAAACAUGUAUUUCUUAUGAGUCACAGUAUCACACAAAGCUUGGUGGAGAAAGGAUGGGUAUGGGGGGGGGGCAGUUAGGGACCCCCAUAGAAGAGGACUGGGAAGGAAUGAGGUCAGGAUUAGUGGAGCCAGAGAGAUCCUGUGUGACUGGCCAGGAGGCCUGGCCCCUAUCGGGAAACCAUAGAUAAAAGAGCUUCAGUGACAGGAGAGGCUCCAAAGUGACCACAGACUCCCCCACAAAGGGAACCUGGCUCCGCAGGCGGCUGGACCUGCAGGCACUGAUGCAACACACAACUGUGACAUGCCAGGCAGGCUGUCCCCUGCUCUCCCCCUCCCCCUGCCCCCCAGGAACAGCCGCCCCUCUCCUAGAAGGGGGAAGGGGAUGGAGGGUGAAGCCAGAGAACUAGACUCUUCCUCUGUGCCUGCAACUUCCUCUGCCUAACUGGAAGAGGGAGAUGCUUUCAACUGAAUGGAGCUUGGAGUUGUGAUAUCCCACUGGCAAGACUAAAGGAAUUGACCAAACAAAGAACAAUGGUGUGACCUAUGGCAACGUUUGCUGAGCUGCUCUCCCUGUAGUAACUGCCUGCCCCUCAAAGACCUUUCUGGAAGAUACCCCAACCAUCACUAUUUGUAUGGCAGCAGUACCCUAUUGUAAUUCAUCUAAGCACUGGAACAGGUUGUUUAGGUGUUAUAUGGAUACAUUACAAAAUUCAGAGAACAAAAGGAUGGAAAGCUUUCUCACUGCAAGUGAAACAUCAAGCCUCUUUCUCUCCCCUUUCCCACCCAACUAACUCCUUGACUAUUACAACAUGACUACUACUACAACCCCUUGAUGAGCUCCCCAAACCCCAUCUGGUUCAGGUGAAGGAAGAGGGAAGGGAAUAUCUGGAAAGACUUUCUGGAGAAGGUGGCAUCUUGGUUCCUAUAAAAUAAUAAAAAAUGUAUGUAUUAGUCUCUACCCCUGAUU
rnacentral:lncRNA from 1 species